AGCAGAGCCAUUCAUAUUUCUUAAGAACAAAAUAUGGAAAUAUAAUAAAUUAGCUGGAAAAUUUCAGUUUCUGAAAGAAUACAGACUCAACAAGAUGUUAUCAAUGUCAUUCUACAGGUUAAGCAAAUAUACAAAGUCACUAAGGAUUCUAAGAGAUACAAAAGUGAGAUAUUUAUGCUAUGCAAUCACAGAUACUAAAAGAGAUUUGUUUAAGACCAAAAUGCAAUUAGAUGCUGCAAGAUGCAAUUUCCUAAGAACAAGCAUGGACAUACUAUUGAGGAGGAUCUUUGAUAACUGGGAAGAAGUGCAACAAUACAGUAUAUAAAGAAUAGAUACAUUAAAAAAUUCAAAUGGAUAUUGAAGAACCAGAUCCAUAAAAAGAUGAGAAUGCUUAGAACAUAUGAAAUACUUGGAGAUAUCCCUGUCCUGAAAGCAGUAGAUGAAUUUUUACUAUGUAAGCCAAAGGCCUAGGCUCCAUUAUACCUGAAAACUAAAAUUUAUACCAUAAACUGAAAAGAGAAAAGUUAUGUUUCAAACUAGUUUCAGUUUAUGCUUUUAGCUUCACAUAAACAUAAAUAAGUUAACAGAACUUUAC
rnacentral:lncRNA from 1 species